rnacentral:rRNA from 1 species
GUGCCAGCCGCCGCGGUAAUACGUAGGGGGCAAGCGUUGUCCGGAUUUAUUGGGCGUAAAGCGCGUGUAGGCGGCAAGGUGUGUCGUGCGUGAAAUCUCCCGGCUUAACUGGGAGGGGCCGUGCGAAACUGCCUCGCUUGAGGUCGGAAGGGGAAAGUGGAAUUCCGGGUGUAGUGGUGGAAUACGUAGAUAUCCGGAGGAACACCAGCGGCGAAGGCGGCUUUCUGGUCCGAUUCUGACGCUGAGACGCGAAAGCGUGGGGAGCGAUCCGGAUUAGAUACCCGGGUAGUCCACGCCGUAAACGAUGAGUACUAGGUGUCGGGGGUAUCGACCCCCUCGGUGCCGUCGCUAACGCAUUAAGUACUCCGCCUGGGGACUACGGCCGCAAGGCUAAA